rnacentral:lncRNA from 10 species
UAACUUUAAAAGUUAUGUAUCAGGUUUGGUGCAAAAGUACCAAAAAUGGUGGUUGGUUUUAACCUCAAUUACUUUUACACCAACCCAAUGAAAUGUUUGCUCCCAUGACCCAGUGAAGAGUUAGGGCAGUGGCACGAUCUCGGCUCACUGCGACCUCCACCUCCCGGGUUCAAGUGAUUCUCCUGCCUCAGCCUUCUGAGUAGCUGAGACUACAGGUACUCACAACCAUGCCUGGCUAAUAUUUUUUUGGGGGUAUUUUUCUUUUAAGAGAGAUGGGGUUUUGUCACAUCGGCCAGACUGGUCUCAAGCUCCUGACCUCAAGUGUUCCUCCCACCUUGGCCUCCCAAAGUGCUGGGAUUACAGGCGUGAGCCACCACACCCGGUCAUCAUGUUAGAAUAAACCAAAGGGGCUCAGGUAAGGUAGCAGUCCCAGGAGUGGGCUGUGCAGAAAGAGGAAAAGACAUCUUUUGAGGAAGCAAGCAAAAAAUAAUUCUGAAUUAGUUUAUACUGGUCCAGAGGUUUGUUUUAGUGCCAGCAA